rnacentral:rRNA from 1 species
UACGGGGGGGGCAAGCGUUGUUCGGAAUUACUGGGCGUAAAGGGCUCGUAGGCGGCCAACUAAGUCAGACGGGAAAUACCCGGGCUCAACUUGGGUGCUGCAUUUGAAACUGGAUAUCUAGAGUGCGGGAGAGGUAAGUGGAAUUCCUAGUGUAGCGGUGAAAUGCGUAGAUAUCGGGAGGAACACCUGUGGCGAAAGCGGCGCACUGGACCACAACUGACGCUGAUGCGCGAAAGCUAGGGGAGCAAACAGG